rnacentral:ncRNA from 2 species
GCUGAAUAUGAGGGAACAGGUGCCAAGGUCCAUUAUUGGGCUGGCCUAACAUGAGAAACCGGUUUAAAGCCGGUACGGUCCCGCCACUGUAUCAGGGAGUCAUACUUUAUCAAUGCCACUGGGAUAUCCGGGAAGGCAAAGUUAUGAUGAUGAACUGGAGUCAGGAGAACUGCCUGUUGAACAAUCACCGU